AAUUGCUCCUGAAAUUCCCCUAGGCUAUGCUUAAAAGGAGCCUGCAUGUCCCUCUGGGGGUCAUCACCAUUUUGUUCAGCUUGACUGCAUUUAGAACCCUGGGAGAUGCACUUCUGAGAACAUUAGUGAGAGCACAUCCAAAGAUGAACUGAGAAGAGAAGACCUGCCCUGAAUAUGGGUGACUCCACCCAUGGGCUGAGGACCUGCCAAAAUCGAAGAAAAAGGAAAAGAGAGCCAAGCACCAGCCCACCAACUCUCUGCCUCCUGAUCUGCCCAGAUGUGAGCACACAGCUGUAUCAUGCUCUACCACCGUAGUCAAAGCCUUCCCUGCUGCUGUAAACCUCAAACCCUGAACCAAAAUAAACUUAUUCUAUUAA